UAGAGUUUGAUCAUGGCUCAGGACGAACGCUGGCGGCGUGCUUAACACAUGCAAGUCGAACGGAAAGGCCCUGCUUUUGUGGGGUGCUCGAGUGGCGAACGGGUGAGUAACACGUGAGUAACCUGCCCUUGACUUUGGGAUAACUUCAGGAAACUGGGGCUAAUACCGGAUAGGAGCUCCUGCUGCAUGGUGGGGGUUGGAAAGUUUCGGCGGUUGGGGAUGGACUCGCGGCUUAUCAGCUUGUUGGUGGGGUAGUGGCUUACCAAGGCUUUGACGGGUAGCCGACCUGAGAGGGUGAUCGGCCACACUGGGACUGAGACACGGCCCAGACUCCUACGGGAGGCAGCAGUAGGGAAUCUUCCGCAAUGGACGCAAGUCUGACGGAGCAACGCCGCGUGAGUGAAGAAGGGUUUCGGCUCGUAAAACUCUGUUGUUAAGGAAGAACACUUUAGGUAGUAACUGGCCUAGAGAUGACGGUACUUAACCAGAAAGCCACGGCUAACUACGUGCCAGCAGCCGCGGUAAUACGUAGGUGGCAAGCGUUAUCCGGAAUUAUUGGGCGUAAAGCGCGCGUAGGCGGUAGAAUAAGUCUGAUGUGAAAGCCCCCGGCUCAACCGGGGAGGGUCAUUGGAAACUGUUUUACUUGAGUGCAGAAGAGGAGAGUGGAAUUCCAUGUGUAGCGGUGAAAUGCGCAGAGAUAUGGAGGAACACCAGUGGCGAAGGCGGCUCUCUGGUCUGUAACUGACGCUGAGGUGCGAAAGCGUGGGGAUCAAACAGGAUUAGAUACCCUGGUAGUCCACGCCGUAAACGAUGAGUGCUAAGUGUUGGGGGGUUUCCGCCCCUCAGUGCUGCAGCUAACGCAUUAAGCACUCCGCCUGGGGAGUACGACCGCAAGGUUGAAACUCAAAUGAAUUGACGGGG
rnacentral:rRNA from 1 species